CCUGCAUUCCCUUCCCUGGCGCUGGGCCGCUCCCAUCCGGGGGUGCAGCCUUUCUUUCAGCAGCCACAGGCCCUGAGGACCAACAGGGAAACCAGACACAGGGCUGGGAACCAGUGGUGACCAUGGGAGAUGACACAGGUGAGGAUGGCACAGGGUCGGGGUCAGGAGCACCCUCGGUCCUGCUCACUAGGCCCAGGUGGACCCAGAAGAAAACUCUGCAAGACCCUGCUGCAGAAAAGGCCCCUCGGUGAGUGACACAGCAGUCCCAGGCUGUGACCAGCAUGGAGAUGCCCCGCCACACUACAGAGGGACAAAGAACACUUGGGGCUGGGGUUCUGGCAGCUCAGAGCACGAAGAAGCUGCAGCCUCCCCUCCUCCCACCAGCAAAAAGGCCCUGCUCUGUGGAGAAGCAGCAGCGGAAGUGAGGGAGGCACAAACACGCAAGGCCAGCGCCUGAGUGAGGGCCCGGGACACUCAGGCACCACCGCCCAGGCUCAGCAGAUGCGCCACCCUGGCUCUCCACGAAGGAAGGGAGGACUCUGGAAGCAGUGCCCACUGGAUCUGUGUUCUGGAGCAAGCGUGCAAUGGUCCCUGGAUGGACGUCCACCUAGAGCUGAUCUGCGCACCCUGGAGGGCUCCCAGGAGGCAGCAGGACCUGAAGCUCACAGAGCAGGAGGACCUCGAGGUGUACCUGGAAGCUCCUGGCAGAUCUGAUAGAGGCCUUCAAGAUGCCUCCACAUGCAAGAGUCAGGCAGAGGUGAGGGGACAGCCACGCUGCUAUUAGAGUCAUAAGUGUGUGACCUGAUGAAGACACCGUGGGGUGAGGCUUGGGGUCCCAGCUGACUUUCUGGUGCUCCCUUAGGAAGUCUGGCCGGCAGCACCCUGGAGAUGCUGUGCAAAUUGACCCCACAGCCUCCUUCUCAGGAACCACUGACAAUAAGGCAGGGUGGGGAGAAGGUCCUUGAGAGUGUCAACUGAUAACCCGGCUGCAUUUGAUAAGGGACAGCAGGAGACAAUAGCCAUUAAUUCCCAAGGGAGUCCGUGGCCUGCCCGCCAGGCCCGAGAGACAGGAUGAUAGAUGGUGGCAGGCUGAGGGUCACCAGCAUAUAAAGAGAGACCAUAACGGUAGGGAGACGGCACAGCCACCAGCCAGCAGACUGAGGGACACUGAACCUGGCAAGGUACUGUGGAUGAGUAGGGACAUCUCUACCUUGUCCCUGAGCAUGAGAGGCCAUUGCCUACCUGGGACAAAAGACCAGAGGGAAACAAAAGCAUAACACACAGCUCAAGUAGGACCUGAUGGUGCUGGCCUGUAAUGCCAGCACUCUGGAAGGCUGAGGCAGGGAGAUCUCAUGUUGGGAUUCCAGCCCAGACAACUUAGCAAUUUAGUGAGACCUUGUCUGUAAAGAAAAAAUGAAAAGGGCUGGGAAUGGAGUUCACUGUGAAGACCAUGGGUUUAAUCCCCAGUAUCACAAAAAACUAUUUUAAAAAAAGCAUCAAAACAUGUUGGGAUGAGCACAGACUGAGACCCAGGGCUUGGGUCCUCCUGCACCUUGUCACAGGCCCAGCUGCACAAAACACAAGUCCAUCGGACGGAGGCCAAAGGAUGGAACCAAGAAAAGGGCAGGACAGAAAAGAGCUGCCAGGAGAGUCCAAGUGAAUCCGAUCCCUCAUAACAGCAACUGUGGACCACUCAGCUUCCAGCACCACACAUGCUGUGUUUUCAUCGUGGACUUCUCUGUCUCUGCUUGUAUUCCCUGAUGUGAAGGUUCACGCCACUGUCCCCAUUUAUAACCCUAUCCCCUGAGUGUACCCGACACGGCCAGGCCACUGUGGACUGGGUCUGCGUCCCCUGCACACUGCACAGCCUCCGGAUCAGCAGUCACCUUCUACCGAAAAUCCAGACACCAAGGCCUACAAAGGACAGAGUGCUUUGUCACUGGGUUACAGUGGGGAGUGAGACAGAGACACAGGUGGAGACAGAUGAAGCAUUGAGCUAGACUCCUGGGGAACACACAGAAUUUCCUGAUGGGAUGACUGGGCCGGUGUGGCCUGAGGAAAGGAGCCAGCAAAGGGGUCCCUGGGUUCCUUACCCCACGCAUGCCAGCCCUGACCCGUCCUGGCUCAGCUUCCCCCAGCGUUCUGCGGCCUCUGCUGCCUCCCAGAGGCGCCGUCCGGUAAUGCAGGCUCUCUGCCCGCUUCCGUGAGGCUGUGUCUUGCGGCGCCCUCAUCCGACCUCAGCCCCGCCCAGAUCCAGCUCAGCCUUGUCCCAGGGCUCUCUUGGCGUUUGUAAGUGCAUUCCCACACUCCCUGGCUACCCUUUCAUUUCUUUACUGAUUAUAAAAAAUACUAAGUAUAAAAAUUCAGUUGGAGCCAGGUGUGUGCAGCACAUGCCUGUAAUCCCAGCACCUAAGGGAGACUGAGGCAGGAAAAUCUCAAGCGCAAGUCCUGCCUGGGCAACUUAGCAAGAUACUACCUCCAAAUUAAAUAUAAAUAAAUGAAAUAUAGAAAAGA